rnacentral:rRNA from 1 species
UACGGAGGGGCUAGCGUUAUUCGGAAUUACUGGGCGUAAAGCGCACGUAGGCGGCUUUGUAAGUCAGAGGUGAAAGCCUGGAGCUCAACUCCAGAACUGCCUUUGAGACUGCAUCGCUUGAAUCCAGGAGAGGUGAGUGGAAUUCCGAGUGUAGAGGUGAAAUUCGUAGAUAUUCGGAGGAACACCAGAAGCGAAGGCGGCCAACUGGCCCGAUACUGACGCUGAGGCGCGAAAGCGUGGGGAGCAAACAGG